UACGUAGGGUGCGAGCGUUAAUCGGAAUUACUGGGCGUAAAGCGUGCGCAGGCGGUUUUGUAAGUCAGAUGUGAAAUCCCCGGGCUCAACCUGGGAAUUGCGUUUGAGACUGCAAGGCUGGAGUCUGGCAGAGGGGGGUAGAAUUCCACGUGUAGCAGUGAAAUGCGUAGAGAUGUGGAGGAACACCGAUGGCGAAGGCAGCCCCCUGGGUCAAGACUGACGCUCAUGCACGAAAGCGUGGGGAGCAAACAGG
rnacentral:rRNA from 1 species